AUAAUUCAUCUCUCUGAUAAAUAACUGUGCAUCCUAAUUAUGUCACAGUGUUUGUUGUUUAAAAGAUAAUUUUCCAAUUAAACAAAGUCUCAGAUUUCUAUUUACAUUUUGCUUUUGUUAUUAUUAUUAUGAUUAUGAUUAUGAUUAUUAUUAUUAUUAUUAUUAGCCUACUCUGUAUUAUGUCAUCAGACUUUGUAAGGACACUCCCACACAGAUUUUUAAAGCCUGCAGCUCCUCCAGUCUCUCAGAACUGAAGAGGUCUCUUGAAUGAAUCAACAAACUGAAACAAGUCCAGUUGACUUCGAUACAGAACCUUCAUCACCACGUCAACACAGCUGUUAUUUUUUAUCAUUUUCAUGAAAAAAACAGUUUAAUAAUUACCUACACGAUCACUUACACUACAUAAAUAAAUGUUUGUGGACUUCAUUGGACACCUCUGCAUUAAUAAAACCAGCUAUUCAUCCCAAUUACUCGUUGUAGAGUCUGGCUUUUAUUUUGAAGUCACUCUUCCGGUCACCGAUCUGCUGCUGCACAGUGAGGCCUGAGUGCACGAGAGAGGUGAGAUGUCCCGGAUGUGACGUUCAGGAACUUCACUCUGACCCACUUCAUCUCUAACCUAUAUCGUGACGUCACACGUUCCUUGUAUAUGUCGAACACGUGACGUGUGUAGAACUGAAGCUCGAGCCCAUAAUGAUCCGUGACGCUGUAAACGCUCUUCAUCAGUCAAUCAAACGGAUCGAUGAGUCAAUAUCUCGAUCAGCUGUAAACACAGCUCGAGCUCAAGGCCACACCCCCGCUACGUGCCCGCGCGCUGGGCGUGCCCGCCGCCAUUGAGGACUCCGUGAGGCGCAUGUAGCCCUCGUGCUCCUCACUGCGGUCCGCCAGGAAGUAAACAGUGAAUGUGAAGUUGAGCACGCGCCAGGAAAACACUGAGAGCAGCUGAUAGGAGGAGAGCCGGACCGGAAGCUGAUGCUGGUUCAGACGAGUCACGUCGUGCCCGUCAUCGCCGCUCGCUCUCUGACCUUUGUUCCCAAGGAACAAGUUCAUACGUGAGGCUCGGCAGCAACCAGCUUCCUGCCGUUGGAUGAAAGAAGCUGCGCCUGAGGACGGCGACACCCCCCUAAUCAAUCAGGAUCUGCUGCAGACUGGGUCCAGUGUAAACAGUGUGGUUUUUCCAGAAACAGCAGUGCCACAGAGAGCACAGGGUCACAGAGGGGGGAGAUAUUUUUGAUGAUGGCAGUUCAAACUCCAGUCAGCAGCUUGUGGUGCGUACGUGAGAGAAGCUUCAUCGUCUAAGUUAACCAGUAACCAGAGGUCUGCUUCCUGUCUGAUCUGCUGCCAGACUGAUGGAGUGAAACACUCCUUGGCAGCCUGUGUGUGUGUGUGUGUGUGUGUGUGUGUGUGUGUGUGUGUGUGUGUGUACGUGUUGUAAUCUAAGAAAAAUGUCAGUGGUUUACGUUACAGCUCAACUGAUGUGUUUAAUACGGAGGAGUUUGAUUGAAGCUGCUGAUGGCUGAUAAUCAGCAGAUAUCAGACUGUGCUCAUUUUUCACGCCCAUGAAAUCUCCAGUUAAUUUAACAAGAAGCCUUUGAGGCAGCGUUUGUGAUGAAACUGCUUGAAACUGUAACUGCAUGUACUUCUGUAAUAAACGACUACAGUCGUGGUCAAAAGUUCACAACUGCUUGUAAGGAACGUGUUCAUCGUGUCGGUCUUCGGUUCCAAUGAUUUCUACAAUGCUCAUUGUUCUGUGAAGGGAAACACACGGGUCAGGGUUAGAGUUAGGGUUUGUGUCAGAUCAGGGUUAGGGUGUUGAGCCGGCACAUACACCGGUCAUCCUUUCUUUCCUCUUGAUGUUGAAAGCUUCCUCAGGAAGCAGAAAACAGAAUAAAGGACAUGUAGGCAAAGACAAAGUAAGAUGAGAUGGGAUGACUUGAGCUUUUGGGGUGGGUUGACUGGUUAUGGUAAGCAUAAGUGUGAUGAGGAGGAUUUAUGUUGUGGAUUUGUGGUUGUAAUGGUGGUAUAUUUCAAAGACAGAUGUUUUGAUAGUAUGGGUUAUGAUCAGUAAAAUAGAAAUGUGAGGAUCGGGUAGUGAUAGGCAUGUGGUCACUGGGGUUAUGGUUCUCACAUACAGGUUACCUUUCCGGCUGGAUCUGGACCCCCUCCUUCUAACUGAAAGGAGCAGAGAUAAAACACAGGUGAACACUGAACAAACAAUCAAAGGUAAGUAUUCAAAGAGUUAGUGCAGCAUGCACGUUGUAAAGAAGAGGUCGAUGUGAUUCACACCAGUUGUACCGUUCAUGCAAUAAAUAAUGUAAAUAAAUAUUGCCACAAUCCAUCCUAAUCCUAAAAGUCGUAGAAGAAACAUGCACAAACAAAUACAUAAAUAAAUAAAAUAAUCAACAUUUUGGUGUCAUUUACACCUGCAGGUUGGCCUCAGUGACCUUUAAACAGCAGGGUUAGGAGACAGUAUGGUUUUUAGAGACCCAGGGUAGCUGAAGCUGAGCAGGAUCUUUUGUCUCACGCUCUUGUGGUCAGGUCAGGCAACUCUUGAGAGAUGUGUGUUUGUUUUUUGGGAGGAAAACCAUGCAUAGUGUCAAACACGAAACACAAGUGUCGAAGGGUUCUACUUCAAAUUCCUCAACACGUAAAAAUCAAUGGCAUAGUCAAAAGUAUACAUGAACAGUCCAGUUAUUAACUGUACAAGGUGAACACUUUCACAAUAUCUGGCAGAUAAAACAUUUGCAGCCUGUGUAGUGUAUUUUACACACUAAUCUUCCAUUGCUGGAUAAACAUUGCUGACUCCCCAUCCAUGUGGUUCAGGCCUGUUGAUGCUUGAGGAUGAAUCAAGUGUAUUUGGAAAUGUAUGGGGGGGUUACUGUGCCAAAUCCAGUUACUGUGGGCGAAGGCCAGGGUACACCCUGGAUGAGUCGCCAGCUCAUCCCAGGACCCUUACUGAUGGCAGUGGCUGCCACACAGGUGGCCACUGCACAUCAGGAGCAGUUUUGGGGUUCAGUACCUUGCUCGAGGAUACUUCGACAUGUAGCUCAGUUCCACCCCAGGGGAGCCGGGAUUCGACCAGCAACCUUACGAUCGCUAGUCCACCAGCUACAGCCAACCAAAGUUGAAAUGUUUUUGGAUGAAAUACCAUAGAUGGACAAUACCUUAUAAAUAAAUAAAUAAAGGUAAUUCAUGGUCCAAACCCUAUAUUUUAACACGCUCAGUGAAAACUGUGACAUCUUUUGUUUCUAUUGUUUAAAUAUAGUGUGUAAAACUGUUUAUAAAAAUCUAACAAAAGGAAGGGUUAGAUGUUAAUGUUAUUGUGUGUUACAGGCCUAGUGUUGUGUGCGUGUUUGCCUUGUGUUUUCACUCAAGUGUUGGCCUCUUUCUCAGCCUCCUCCUUGCCUGCGUGUGGAGGUCUACACC